ACGCUGGCGGCGUGCUAAUACAUGCAAGUCGAACGAAACUUUCUUACACCGAAUGCUUGCAUUCACCGUAAGAAGUUGAGUGGCGGACGGGUGAGUAACACGUGGGUAACCUGCCUAAAAGAAGGGGAUAACACUUGGAAACAGGUGCUAAUACCGUAUAUCUCUAAGGAUCGCAUGAUCCUUAGAUGAAAGAUGGUUCUGCUAUCGCUUUUAGAUGGACCCGCGGCGUAUUAACUAGUUGGUGGGGUAACGGCCUACCAAGGUGAUGAUACGUAGCCGAACUGAGAGGUUGAUCGGCCACAUUGGGACUGAGACACGGCCCAAACUCCUACGGGAGGCAGCAGUAGGGAAUCUUCCACAAUGGACGCAAGUCUGAUGGAGCAACGCCGCGUGAGUGAAGAAGGUCUUCGGAUCGUAAAACUCUGUUGUUAGAGAAGAACACGAGUGAGAGUAACUGUUCAUUCGAUGACGGUAUCUAACCAGCAAGUCACGGCUAACUACGUGCCAGCAGCCGCGGUAAUACGUAGGUGGCAAGCGUUGUCCGGAUUUAUUGGGCGUAAAGGGAACGCAGGCGGUCUUUUAAGUCUGAUGUGAAAGCCUUCGGCUUAACCGGAGUAGUGCAUUGGAAACUGGAAGACUUGAGUGCAGAAGAGGAGAGUGGAACUCCAUGUGUAGCGGUGAAAUGCGUAGAUAUAUGGAAGAACACCAGUGGCGAAAGCGGCUCUCUGGUCUGUAACUGACGCUGAGGUUCGAAAGCGUGGGUAGCAACAGGAUAA
rnacentral:rRNA from 2 species